rnacentral:rRNA from 1 species
GUGUCAGCAGCCGCGGUAAAACGUAGGGGGCAAGCGUUGCCCGGAUUCACUGGGCGUAAAGCGGGUGUAGGCGGUCCUCUAAGUCGGAUGUGAAAUCCUACGGCUCAACCGUGGAACUGCAUCCGAUACUGGAGGACUUGAGGACGGUAGAGGUCGGUGGAAUUCCCGGUGUACCGGUGAAAUGGGCAGAUAUCGGGAGGAACACCAGUGGCGAAGGCGGCCGACUGGGCCGAUCCUGACGCUGAGACCCGAAAGCCAGGGUAGCGAACCGGAUUAGAUACCCGGGUAGUCC